rnacentral:precursor_RNA from 1 species
CGCCGGGCCCGCCUUCCACGCCGGCCAGUGAGGGCGCGGAGGGCGGGGCCUGGCGGG